CAGGUCCCUUGAUACCCAAUGACACGCCCCUGAUACCCAAUGAAACCCACGAAACCCACACCCCUUAUACCUUGAAAAACUCACGCCCCUUAUACCCAAAGAAACCCACGCCCGUUCUCAUCCUCAUCUCGUCGGAGGCGUCGCCCAACCGCGAGCAUCUCAGUCGGCAUCGCCCAACCCCGUUUUGUUCCCUCUCCGACCAUGACGAUGACCACAAAGAAUCUCCGCCCAUGAAGCAUCUCCGGCUACGAAGAGGAAGGAAGAGAUUAGGAGUUUGGUCCUUUUGGCCUCCGAAGAGGUGGCUAGGCUGAGCUCGAGGUGAAUACGGAAUCAAGUUACAGCGUCGUUUCCAUGGUUACUCUGAAUCAAUGUGUCGUUGUUUAUUUCCCCACCACUACUCGCUGUGAUCAAUGCAAAGUGGUUUGUCACUGUGUUCUUCAAGGAAGCGUAAGUGAGUUUUGCUUCCACAAUUGCAAACCAGCUCCAGUCAUAAUUGUUCCAGGCAAAGGUGCCUAAGUGGGAUUCAAUAGUGGGUGUUUUGAAAGCAUCUGCUAGUGUACAUACAGGUGUUGUUUGAUCCAGAACUUUGGUCAGUGCUUGGACUUGCUGGCUACGAACUAUUUUAACUAUAAAAAGGUGUACUACAAGAAUGUAUAGGGACUUCUAGCUUCUGAGUUGGAGAUAGGGGCUUCACAUUUUUUUUUAUGUUUGUUUGUUUGCUUAAUUUAGUGUUAGUUUUUUUUUUUUGUUCAUUUAGUUUGGUUUGUAUUGGGGUAACUUUUUUCAGUUUUCCAUGUUAGCAACUCUGAUCCAUGGAGUUUGUUGUUGUAGUUCAUAGACAAUACAAUUCAAGCAAGGAUUAUGUAAUUGAAUUUUUUAUGAUUUCUAUUGUAAUUUUUAUGUAUUGAAUAAAUGUGUUCACUAUUAUUUAAA